rnacentral:rRNA from 1 species
ACAACUUUCAACAACGGAUCUCUUGGCUCUCGCAUCGAUGAAGGACGCAGCGAAAUGCGAUAAGUAAUGUGAAUUGCAGAAUUCAGUGAAUCAUCGAAUCUUUGAACGCACCUUGCGCUCCUUGGUAUUCCAAGGAGCAUGCCUGUUUGAGUGUCAUUAAA